rnacentral:lncRNA from 1 species
UCCUAGUUCAAGCUCUUGUGUUCAUGUCUUCUCUUUCCACUCUUUCCCUCUCCUCCCAUCCCCUGCUCUGCUCCCCCUGCGCCCCCCCCCACACCUUCCAUUUCUAUAUUAGGGUCUCACAUAGCCCAACCUAGCCUCAAACCCAUGAUGUGGCCAAAGGUGAUCUUGAAUAUCGGGUCCUCCUACUGCCUUCUCCUCAGGCAAGUACUUCUGUUUCCAGUGACUUGCAAGGGCUCCUCAGGGUCACCUGAGAGAACACAGCUGGUUUCUGAAGUGCUCUUCUCAUAUGUCCAGGAUUUCCCCUGUGCUUCCAGAGAAUGGGAGAAGCCUGCCUCUGUGACAGCCUACAGAGCAGGUUCAGGAACAAGCAGCCAAUGACCAUUUUCUUCCGUUUCGAGGAACCCAGUGAAGGACUUACCCAAAGGAAACAGGAAAUCGGGAAAGUGAUUGGAUGCCAAGAGGCCAACAGCAAAAGCUAGGUAGUCAGGAGCUACCAGAAGCUUUGUCAGGUAAGGAGUCUGGUCUGGACUUCACUGAGAGUCUUUUUCCCCCCUUUCAUUCCUUCUGCU